UACAGAGGUGGCAAGCGUUGUUCGGAAUUACUGGGCGUAAAGGGCGCGUAGGCGGCCUUCUAAGUCAGACGUGAAAUCCCCAGGCUUAACUUGGGAACUGCGUCUGAUACUGGGAGGCUUGGGUGCGGGAGAGGGAUGUGGAAUUCCAGGUGUAGCGGUGAAAUGCGUAGAUAUCUGGAGGAACACCGGUGGCGAAGGCGGCAUCCUGGACCGACACUGACGCUGAGGCGCGAAAGCUAGGGGAGCAAACGGG
rnacentral:rRNA from 1 species